rnacentral:rRNA from 1 species
AACACAUGCAAGUCGAACGGAGAUUACUUAGCUUGCUUUGUAAUCUUAGUGGCGGACGGGUGAGUAACACGUGAGCAACCUGCCUCUGAGAGAGGGGAUAGCUUCUGGAAACGGAUGGUAAUACCUCAUAACGUAGCGAAACCGCAUGAUUUUGCUACCAAAGAUUUAUCACUCAGAGAUGGGCUCGCGUCUGAUUAGGUAGUUGGUGAGGUAACGGCUCACCAAGCCGACGAUCAGUAGCCGGACUGAGAGGUUGAACGGCCACAUUGGGACUGAGACACGGCCCAGACUCCUACGGGAGGCAGCAGUGAGGGAUAUUGCACAAUGGAGGAAACUCUGAUGCAGCGAUGCCGCGUGGAGGAAGAAGGUUUUCGGAUUGUAAACUCCUGUUUCGAGGGACGAUAAUGACGGUACCUCGGGAGGAAGCUCCGGCUAACUACGUGCC